GGAUAUAACUCAGUUGGUAGAGUGCUUGCCUCACAUGCACAAGGCCUUAGUUUCAAUCCCUAGCACCA
rnacentral:tRNA from 1 species